UCCCAGCCCUCCCAGUUAUCCUCAAUCCAUUCCCAGUCCCUUCCCAAAUCAUUCCCCAAUUCCCACCCCUCCCCUCCCAAUCCAUCCCAGUUUAUCCCAGUCCCCCCCCAUUCCCACCCAUUCACCCUCCCAGUCCAUCCCAGUUUUUCCCAUUUCCCUCCCAUGUUCCCCCCCCUUUCCCUCCCAGUCCAUCUCAGUCCUCCCAGCCAUCUCAGUCCCUCCCAGUUCAUCCCAGUCCAUCCCAGUCCCCCCAAUCCAUCCCAGUUUAUCCCAAUCUGCCCCAUUCCCACCCACUCCCUCCCAGGCCACCCAGUUUAUCCCAUGUUGCUCCCACCCCCCAUUCCUCCCAGUCCCUCCCAGUUCCUCCCAGUUACUCCAAUACAAAUCCCAGUCCCCCCCCCAUUCCCCCACCCACUCCCCUCCCAAUCCACCCCCAGUUUGUCCCAGUCCAUCCCAGUUCAUCCCAGUACCCAAUCCAUCCGCAGUCCCUUCCCAACCCCCCCCAUUCCCACCCACUCCCCUCCCAGUCCAUCCCAGUUUAUCCCAGUCCAUCCCAGUUUAUCCCAGUUCAUCCCAGUGCCAUCCCAGUUCAUCCCAGUUCUCCCAGUGCUCCCAGUUCUCCCAAUACAUCCCAGUGCUCCCAGUUCUCCCAGUUCCUCCAAUACAUCACCAGCCCCCCCCCUUUCCACCCACUCCCCUUCCAAAUCCACCCAGUUAUCCCAGUCCCUCCCAGUUCAUCCCAGCCCCCCAUCCAUCCCAGUUUAUCCCAGUCCCCCCCAAUUCCACCUCUCCCUCCCAGUUCAUCCCAGUUUAUCCCAAUCAUCCCAGUUUAUCCCAGUCCCCCCCCCAUUCCCUCCCAGUCCAUCCCAGUCCAUCCCAGUUCAUCCCAGUUGCUCCAGUCCCCCCAUUCCCUCCAAUCCAUCCCAGUCCCCUCCCAGUUCCUCCCAGUUACUCCCAAUACAUCCCAGUCCCCCCCCCAUUCCCACCCUCUCCCUCCCAAUCCACCCGUUUAUCACCAGUCCCUCCCAGUCCAUCCCAGUUGUUCCCAGUGCCUCCCAGUCCCAUCCCAGUCCCCCCCAAUCCAUCCCAGUUUGUAUCCCAGUCCAUCCCAGUUCUCCCAAUCAUCCCCCAUUCCCACCCACUCCCCUCCCAAUCCAUCCCAGUCUCUCCCAUUCCCCCCCAUUCCCACCCACUCCCCUCCCAGUCCCAUCCAAGUUUAUCCCGUUGCUCCAGUCCACACAAACCACACCCCAUACUCCCUUCC
rnacentral:lncRNA from 1 species